rnacentral:rRNA from 1 species
UACGGAGGGUGCAAGCGUUAUCCGGAUUCACUGGGUUUAAAGGGUGUGUAGGCGGAUUUUUAAGUCAGUGGUGAAAUCUCCGGGCUCAACCCGGAAACUGCCAUUGAUACUAUUAGUCUUGAAUUCUGUUGGGGUGGGCGGAAUACAUCAUGUAGCGGUGAAAUGCUUAGAUAUGAUGUAGAACACCGAUUGCGAAGGCAGCUCACUAAGCAGACAUUGACGCUGAGGCACGAAAGCGUGGGGAUCAAACAGG